rnacentral:lncRNA from 1 species
CUGGUACUCCCUGUAUAUAGCUCCACACUGAUCUGGUACUUCCUGUAUACAGCUCCACAUUGAUCUGGUACUCCCUGUAUAUAGCUCCACAUUGAUCUGGUACUCCCUGUAUAUAGCUCCACAUUGAUCUGGUACUCCCUGUAUAUAGCUCCACAUUGAUCUGGUACUCCCUGUAUAUAGCUCCACAUUGAGCCUGUACUUCCGUAUACUCCAGUGUAUUUAGUAUUAUUCCCCGUUUUACAUUAUUUAAUGUUUUAACUCUGCAUCGUUGAGAAGGGCUAGUAACCAAUCAUUACAUUGGGGACAUUGCCCUGUGUACGGUGCUGUCUUUCAGAUGGGAUGUUAAAUGGGUGUCCUGACUCUCUGAGGUCACUAAAGAUCCCAUGGCGCUUAUCGUAAGAGUAGGGGCGUUAACCCCUGGUGUCCUGGCUAAAUUCCCAAGAUGGCCACCUAAUCAUCCCCAGCUUCCAAUUGGCUCAUUCAUCCCCUUCCUCUCCCCUGUAACUAUUCCCCAGGUCGUUGCUGUAAAUGAGAACGUGUUCUCAGUCAACUUACCUGGUAAAAUAACGGUAAAAUAAAAAUAAAAUAUAAAACAAUGUUAAAGUCUACAAACAGUAGGUAUUCGGCACACGUGACAUAAAACUUGAUUUAUAGUUUUGAAGAAGAGGAUAUUUUCCAGAAGACCCAGGGGGUGGCGCCACCGUGUGGACAGCAGGUGUAAAUGCAGCAGCAGCGUAGCAACAUGAACGCUCUCCUUUCCUCCUCACUGCUCCCUCACCAGAGACGCCACAUGGACAUUAUACAUGGCUGCCUGCAGACGACACAAACAGACAAAGAUGGCCGUCAUAACCAACAUAAUAAAACAAUAACCUCUAGCUUAGGGUCAGGGGUCAGCUGUAUGAAGCCUACCUCAGGGUCAGGUGUCAGCUGUAUGAAGCCUACCUCAGGUCAGGGGUCAGCUGUAUGAAGCCUACCUCAGGGUCAGGAGAAACAGACAGGUCUCAGCUGGGUCAGGAGAAACAGACAGGUUUCAGCUGGGUCAGGAGAGGAGAAACAGACAGGUGUAGGUCUGAGAUCAGAUCAAGAGAGGAGCAACUCUGAGCUAAAACAGACCGAAUCGAGUACCUUGAAUCCAAUGAUGAAAAGGCUGAGUGUGUCCAGGACAGUCAGACACACUACCCCGAGUACGCUGCAGAACAGACACACUACCCC